AACGCACCUUGCGCUCCUUGGUAUUCCUUGGAGCAUGCCUGUUUGAGUAUCAUGAAAUUCUCAAAGCAAUCCUUUUGUUAAUUCAACUGGCCUUGCUUUGGACUUGGAGGUCUUGCAGAUGUCACAGUCUGCUCCUCUUAAAUAUAUUAGCUGGAUCUCAGUAUAUACUUGGUUCCACUCGGCGUGAUAAGUAUCACUCGCUGAGGACACUGUAAAAGGUGGCCAGGCAAUACAGAUGAACCGCUUCUAAUAGUCCAUUCACUUGGACAAUUACAUUUAUGAUCUGAUCUCAAAUCAGGUAGGACUACCCGCUGAACUUAA
rnacentral:misc_RNA from 1 species